rnacentral:rRNA from 1 species
GAUGAACGCUAGCUACAGGCUUAACACAUGCAAGUCGCAGGACUGGCGCACGGGUGAGUAACGCGUAUCCAACCUUAACAUGACCACGGGAUAACCAGUUGAAAGACGGACUAAUACCGUAUGGUGACGGAUGGGGAUGCGUCUGAUUAGCUUGUUGGCGGGGUAACGGCCCGCCAAGGCGACGAUCAGUAGGGGGUCUGAGAGGCAGGCCCCCCACAACGGAACUAAGACACAGUCCAAACUCCGAGGGGGGGCAGCAGUGAGGAAUACUGUGGACGAGGCUAGGGCCGGAACCAGCCAAGUGGCUUGCAGAAUGUCGGCCUAUGGGUUGUCAGCUGCUUUUAUGCGGGGAUAGGUACCGCAUCAAUAAGCACCGGCUAAUUCCGUGCCAGCAGCCGCGGUAAUAC